CAUCGCUUCCUCAUUUUUAUUCAAAUUGCCAGAUGAAACAUUUUCGAAUCAUCACUAGCCUCUACCAUUAUUACUGUCCUGGUAUUAUAGACGUAUCUAACUUCGAAGAUCAAGGAACCUUCAAGAAUAUGAACUAAUCUCCAAAUAAUAAAGUAAGAACUGUUAGGAUCAAGGAGGCUGAAAGGGAUCAGAAACCGUAGAAGGGACCCAAUACAGCAUAAAGAGCCUGGUUGCAACAAAUGGAUCCUCAGCGAUCACAGUCGAAGUGGAAUCAACCACGCAGAGUCAGGAAGUUGUCAGGCAAUUCAAGAAUAGGAACCCUGAGGGAAAGAUUCUAAUGAAUUGAUACGUUACUGUGGACACCGAAAAACAGAGCAAACUUUAGGAUUUUUUAGACCAAGCAACUUAUCGAUAUUCGAUAAAAAGGAUCCAUAACUGCAACAAUUUUGAUGAUACAGAACUAAGACAAAAAGAAACCGAUUCUUCUUCUCGAAAAUUAUUAAUAAAAAAUUAAACCAUGCAAUAUAAAGAAAACAUACUAUAUACGGGCCGAG